rnacentral:rRNA from 1 species
ACGAACGCUGGCGGCGUGCCUAAUACAUGCCAGUUGAGCGCUGAAGGUUGGUACUUGUACCGACUGGAUGAGCAGCGAACGGGUGAGUAACGCGUGGGGAAUCUGCCUUUGAGCGGGGGACAACAUUUGGAAACGAAUGCUAAUACCGCAUAAAAACUUUAAACACAAGUUUUAAGUUUGAAAGAUGCAAUUGCAUCACUCAAAGAUGAUCCCGCGUUGUAUUAGCUAGUUGGUGAGGUAAAGGCUCACCAAGGCGAUGAUACAUAGCCGACCUGAGAGGGUGAUCGGCCACAUUGGGAAUGAGACACGGCCCAAACUCCUACGGGAGGCAGCAGUAGGGAAUCUUCGGCAAUGGACGAAAGUCUGACCGAGCAACGCCGCGGGAGUGAAGAAGGUUUUCGGAUCGUAAAACUCUGUUGGUAGAGAAGAACGUUGGUGAGAGUGGAAAGCUCAUCAAGUGACGGUAACUACCCAGAAAGGGACGGCUAACUACGUG